CCCCUCUCAGGGUCACACCUGGAGAGUCUCCACUACUCUACCAGUCUCGGCUACGGGAGGGAGAAUCAAGCAGAGGCAUACCCAUUCCAUUCUUAGCUUGGCUAGUGGCUAGCGAGUGGAAGGCAAUCAGCUACAAGG